UACAGAGGUCUCAAGCGUUGUUCGGAUUCAUUGGGCGUAAAGGGUGCGUAGGCGGCGCGGUAAGUCGGGUGUGAAAUCUCGGAGCUUAACUCCGAAACUGCAUUCGAUACUGCCGUGCUUGAGGACUGGAGAGGAGACUGGAAUUUACGGUGUAGCGGUGAAAUGCGUAGAUAUUACUUAGAACACCAAUUGCGAAGGCAGGUCACUAUGUUUUAACUGACGCUGAUGGACGAAAGCGUGGGGAGCGAACAGG
rnacentral:rRNA from 1 species